rnacentral:rRNA from 1 species
AGUGGGGAAUCUUGCGCAAUGGGCGAAAGCCUGACGCAGCCAUGCCGCGUGGAUGAUGAAGGUCUUAGGAUUGUAAAAUCCUUUCACCGGUGAAGAUAAUGACUGUAGCCGGAGAAGAAGCCCCGGCUAACUUCGUGCCAGCAGCCGCGGUAAUACGAAGGGGGCUAGCGUUGCUCGGAUUUACUGGGCGUAAAGGGCGCGUAGGCGGACACUUAAGUCAGGGGUGAAAUCCCGGGGCUCAACCUCGGAACUGCCUUUGAUACUGGGUGUCUUGAGUAUGAGAGAGGUGUGUGGAACUCCGAGUGUAGAGGUGAAAUUCGUAGAUAUUCGGAAGAACACCAGUGGCGAAGGCGACACACUGGCUCAUUACUGACGCUGAGGCGCGAAAGCGUGGGGAGCAAA